GCCUGGGUGGCUCAGUCGGUUAAGCAUCCGACUUCAGCUCGGGUCAUGAUCUCACGGUCUGUGAGUUCGAGCCCCGCGUCGGGCU
rnacentral:tRNA from 1 species